rnacentral:lncRNA from 10 species
CUGAGCCCUGGCAGAUGGUUUUCUGGCCUCCUCAGGUUUCCAGCUCUCCCAGCUGCCUCCGGAGGCAAGUCUGGGGCAGGAGGAGUUUGGAGAAGCUGGCUGGGGGGAGACCUCUGCUCCUCGGCUGCAGCGGUGGACUCGCCUGCGCCGUGGCGGCCCUGUUCAUGGACACGUUCACAGGCAUGUUCAACAUCCCUAGAGUGGCGAGAAGAGUUAUUCCACAUUUCCAGUGAGGAGGCCCAGGCUCAGAGAAGGGCCCUGCCCAUGGUCUCACUACAUUGCCCAAGCUGGUCUCGAACUCCCAGGCUCAAGUGAUCCUCCUGCCUUGGCCUCCCAAAGUGCUGGGAUUACAGAUGUGAGCCACCGCACCCAACCAGUUCCAAAUUUCUGAGGAAAAUCGGAGUCUCUCCUCCAUCCCUCUCCCACUCUCCUAGACUGGUGGAGAGAAGUGACCAGUGAACCCAGCUGGGCACUGGAUGGAAUGUGAAAACUCUUGAGACAUAGGACAGGAGUUACAGCCGAUCUCUGCCCUUUUCCCAGAAAGAAGGCGAAGGUGAAGUCCAAGGUUUCUACACCACAGCAGGCCAGGCCAGGAAGCAGGUGAGAGCAGUGGCGCCUCUGGAACGGCAUCCAAAUGUCUUUAGAAGGUCUGAGAAGCCCCUGCCAGCUGCCCCGGUGUCACCCACACUAUUCCAGGCUGCAGCUCACUGGCCCCAUCGCUCGGUUCUCCCUCACACAGGCCCUCUGCCUGGCACAGGACCGUGCCCAGCUGUGCCCUCUGUCCAGAACACUCCCCUGGGGCUUGUCAAGGCUCACCACUCCUUGUCAUUCAGGUCCCAGCUCUUGCACCAUUAAAGCGUCCAUCAGAUUCAUCAGGAGGGCUUGGGACAUCCAGAUGGCUGGGCAGCAGAACAGCUCCUCAGCAGGCAGGUCCAGGUAGGGCCUGGGAAUCUGCAUUUCUAACAAGUUCUCAGGAUUGCUUUGGGUUUUGUUAGUUUGCCAUUUCCACUGCAGCAGAUGAAACUCCACAAGGGCUGACCCCGAGUUGUUUUCAUUCUGAGUAUCCACAGCCUGGCACACAGUAGGCGCUCAAUAAAUACUGAUUGGAUAAAUGAACAAUUCGACACACCCUCCCAUCGAUUAGACAGGAGCUUUCCCCAUGCUGGGACCUCAAGGGCUCCCUCACGCGUAGGACACCUCGGCAUGAUGUGUGGAGCUGCUGCGCGCUGGAAAUUCCAGAGCUGAACAAAUGCUGCCCCCUGUCCUUGGGCACACACCCCUCUAAUGAGCCAAAGGAGGCUAUUCUAAGGCAGCCGAAUGCUGCAUGUUCUCCAGUGUGUAACUGUGCUGCUGACACUUCCUUAGACAACCUGGGAAAUGUAGGCAAAAUUAUUAUUAUCGUUGUUGUUGUUAUCAAUAUUUAUUAUACGCAUUGUGUAGGAUGAGCCAUUUCACGCCUGGUUUUUAAUCAGUUUCUGUUCCCUGAAGACAGUCUGGUGAGUAACUCGUUAGAAAACUGUAGUGAGCUGGAGUCCUCCAACACACCUGUUGGAAGACCCAGUUCAGGACAGCUUCCAGGCCCUGAGCUGGGCAGUGGGGAGCCCUGGGGCCCUGGAGACAGAGGGCAUCCACAGCUGUUUUGAAAGCUCACAUCCAAACUUUAGAAUGUGGAAAGAUUGAACUCUUUUUUAUUUUUGUAUAUAUAUAUAUAUAUAUAUUUUUUGUAGAGAUGGGGUCUCACCAUGUUGCCCAGGCUGAUCUCAAACUCCUGGACUCAAGCAAUCCUCUUGCCUCAGCCUCCCAUGGUGGAGAGGACUGAACUCUUAAGAUAAUUCCCAUAACAAAGAGAAGACUCCGGAGUCCCCUCUCACAGCAAGGAGUUUUUCUGGAAACUUGAAGUUCUGCAGCAAUGUACUUUGGUGUGGGUGUUUUCAACCACUGUGGUGAGCAACUGAAUCCUUUUAAUCCCAAAACUGGUGUCCCUCAUUUCUGAGAAAUGUUGUUGAGUUAUUUCGGGUAUGAGUCCUUUCCCUCUGUUUUCUCUUUCUUGACUCCUGUUAUUCAUAUGUGCAAUCUCUUGAAUUGAUCUUUCAAUGUUCUUAACUUUUACCUCCUAUUUUGCUUUUCUUUGUCUUCUUGCUCUGUUUUCUAGGAGGUUUCCUCCCUUUUGCCCUCUAAGCCAUCCUUUCGUUCUUCUUUUUUAAAAAUCAUUCAUUUGUGCUUUUCAUUUCCAAGAACUCUCCUUCAACUCUCUGUUCUCUGACUGUUCAUUUUGUUAGCUCUUCGUGGAUGUAACAUCUCUUAUCUCUCUGAGGUUUUUAAUACACUUUGUAAAGAUUUUCUUCGGAGAUAACCUUGCAUGGUCCCUUUCUUUACACUGUUAUUUUUACUCUUUGUUUUUGUUUGUUUGUUUGUUUGUUUGUUUAUUUUGAGAUGGAGUCUCGCUCUGUUGCCCACACUGGAGUGCAGUGGCGCAAUCUCAGCUCACUGCAGCCUCUGCCUCCGGGGUUCAAGUGAUUCUCCUGCCUCAGCCCCCCAAGUAGACGAGACUACAAAAGCCCACCACCAUGCUCGGCUGAUUUUUGUAUUUUUUGUAGAGACAGGGUUUCACCGUGUUGGCCAGGCUGGUCUCAAAUCCUGACCUCAAAUGAUCCGCCUGCCUUGGCCUGCCAAAGUGUUGGGAUUACAGGUGUGAGCCACUGCGCCCGGCUUUUUUUUUUUUUUCCUCUUUGUCUCUUUGUUUUCUCUAUUCCAUGAUGAGCCGUCCCUAAGCUGUCUGCUGAUUUGAGGCUCAUCAGAUCAUGAUCAAGUUCCAAAAUGCAGACUGGAAGCUCCCAGAUCUUGAUGAGUCAUCACCUGGCGAACCUCCCAGUGUUGGUGUACCUGCAGCUGCAAGUUCCUGAGGCUUUGAGGGCUCUGAGAUGUGAAUAGACUUGGAUCUCUUCUAGAGAAUCAAAUAGCCUAAGGUCCUGUCCAACGGAGCCCUCUCUGUCAGGGCUGUGAGGACGUCCCAGGAAUGAUGCCAUAAUGUCGCUGAUGUCAUAUCGACAUAAUAUUGACAGCGAACAUCAGAGCUGCCUGCAGCCAAUUUGCCACUGUCUAGGGAGAAUCCCUGAAGAUGGUGCCAACACAAGGGGAGAGCACCAAGGGAGGCAGAGAGAACCUUCCUUCAUUUACUCCUCCUGCCUCUAUGUGCUAAGCCCCACUCUGUGCCAGGCCCAUUCCUGGCCCUGGGGAAACAGCCACGAACAAGACAGAGUCCCUAUUCUCACGGUGCUGACAUCCUAGUGAGAGGUGACAGCGUGCUGGCAGUCGUCGCAGCCCUCGCUCGCUCUUGGUGCCUCCUUGGCCUCGGCACUUUUGUGUCUAGCUUGGGGAUCGUAAAGGCACCAAUCAGCACCCUGUCAAAACGGACCAAUCCACUCUCUGUAAAACAGAACAGUCAGCUCUCUGUAAAAUGGACCAAUCAGCAGGAUGUGGGUGGGGCCAGAUAAGGGAAUAAAAGCAGGCUGCCCGAGCCAGCAGUGGCAACCCGCUCGGGGCCCCUUCCACACUGUGGAAGCUUUGUUUUUUCGCUCCUUGCAAUAAAUUUUGCUGCUGCUCACCGUUUGGGUCCACACUGCGUUUAUGAGCUGUAACACUCACUGGGAAGGUCUGCAGCUUUACUCCUGAGGCCAGCGAGACCACGAACCCACUGGGAGGAAGAAACUGAACACUUCCGAACAUCAGAAGGAACAAACUGCGGACACGCGGCCUUUAAGAACUGUUAACACUCACCGCGAGGGUCCGCGGCUUCAUUCUUGAAAUCAGUGAGACCAAGAACCCACCAAUUCCAGACACACUAGCAGGGAGAAGCAGGCCCUAAGCCCAGUAAGCACACAGUGCAGUGAAUAGCCUUACACCUAUGUCAUCGAGUUAGUACAAAGUGGAGCAUGCACGCGAUAAAUCUAUCAAGGGAGAAAACGAGAUACGGAACAGUCCAUAGGACACACUCGGUUUUGUACAAGAAAGAGAGAAAAUAAGAAUAUGUUUUCAUAUUUGUUAUACUUCAACAAAGAUACUCUGGAUGGACAGAUGGAAAGCUGAAGCAGCAACUGACAAGGUCAUGUGUCUCAGAUGCCACUUAAAAAUGGUGGUGCCUCCAUCAGCCUGGUUCCCUAAGUGACUGUGUGGAGCAGAGUGCCCUGGCUACCUGCACUGAAUAUGUGGUGCUCAUAAGAAAUAAAGACCUGCGUGGUAAGCUCCUGUGACUUGGAGGUGCUUGUUACUGCAGCAUAGCUCAGCCUGUCCUGACCUACACAGAAAUAGAGCUCUGGAAGCCAGAAGUCCAAAAUCAUUGUCACUGGGCUAAAGUCAAGGUGUUGGCAGGUUGGCUCCUGCUGGAGGUUGGAGGGAGGAUCCAUUUCCCGGACUUCUGUAGCUUCCGGAGCUGCCUGCAUUCUUCGGCAGAAUUCCACUUCCUUACAUCACUCCAACCUCUUGCUUCUGUUGUCACAGCUCCCACUUCUGGUGUCAAAUCUCCCCCUGCCUCCCGAUUAUAAGGACACUUGUGAUUACAUUUAGGGCCCACCCAGAUAACCCAGGAUAACCCUCCCUUCUCAAUCGCAUAUGCGAAGUCCCCUUUGCCAGGAAUUGGGACUUGCGUGUCUUUGGGGGCCGCUCUUCGCCUAACACCCUGGCUACGGUGGUCCGCUCUGGGCCCGAGGUGCCUUUGCUGGCAGCCAGGACAAGCAGGGUCCCAGAGGAAAAUGCCAAGUGGGGGCCCAUGGAGUAGCAGGACUUGGGGACAAGCCCGAUUCUGUCCCCUGAUCUGGCUCUCACCGUCUGGAAACAUACAGGCGCCUUGCUCUGGUCCUUCCUCGUCCUCUGCAAGGCAGGCUCCUUCCUGCACCCCUCCACUUCCUCAGGUGACGGUAUCCACCCCAGGACCAUUCAUGGAACUAACAAAGCACUGGACAUACAGACAAAAACUGCUUCUUUCCUGAAGCUCCCAUCCUAGUGAGGGAGAGUGAAGAAGCCGGGUACGUGAUGUGGGAGGCAGUGAAGCGCGCUAAGGAGAGCAAGCGGGGACGGGGAGAGGAGGGCAGGGCAGGCCCGGGCUGUGAAGAUUCAGCCCACACACAUUUAUCAAGCACCUACCAGGUUCCGGGGCCUGGGACACAGCUGAGAAUGAGACAGACCCAGCCCCUAUCCCAGAGGAUCACCUGUUUUAGCGGGGGGAUGAAGCCGAUGAGGAAAUGAAUGGGGCACGUGCAGAAGGCAGUGAGGCUGGGAGGAACCACAGCGGUGCCCUGGGCUCAGGAGUGAUGGAGCUGCUUCAGAUGGGGCGGUCAAGGAGGACCUCUCGGAGGAGGUGAUUGGGGACUGAGGGAGACGGCUCCAAGUGGAGGGGACAGCAACUGCAACGUGGGGGUGAUGCAGCUCAAUAGCCAUGCGUGUCUGGGUGGCAGGAGCUCAGAAAAGCGUGUUGGCGGCAGUAAGGAUGGAGGGGGAUUGUCCUGGGAUGGGGCUUCCCGUCCCACCUGCUGUGCCUGGGCUUUUAAGCCAGCAGUGAAGACACCUGAGACAGACCCAAGAGAAAGGCCUGCCCACACCUGGUGGCCACUCCAGACAGAAUGAGGACAGGGCCCAGCACAGGUGGAAUGGCCCAGGCCGGAGGAGCCCCUCUCAAGGAGGAGCCUGCCUUGUCCCCCACUCCUGCGCGGAGCCCUGUUCCCUCACGCGGGCUGGCUUCUUUAACGAGACCAUCUGUCUGGCUUUCCUCACUCGGCUGAGCCUGCUGGUGCCAUCCAUCUCCCCCAGCCCCAUCUCCCGUCCGUCUGUCACCGCUCGGCCCCCACCAUCCCUGCCCAGCUCUGAGGGGGCCUCAGCAGGUCUGGCCUUCGUGUUUACUCUUCUCAUCUGGCCACAUCUGGCCCCCGUGCUGAGUCACCCUCUCCAUCUGCCUGUCCUCCCUGUUGGACGGUGGCCGUCUCCUUCCUGGCUCUUUCGGAGCCACGUGGCAGCCCACGCGUGGAGCGGGUGCCAGAGCCGGCACACGCGUGGGGAUGUGACUGUGAGCGGCUUGGUGCCAGCCUGCAUCCCAGGAGGGGCCCCUCAAGGACAGCCCCACUGGAGGCCUCCCCCGCGGCCUUGGAGGGUCCGGUGGUCCACUGGACGAGUCUCAAAGAAACCAAAGAGACUCAGAGAGACAAAGGCCACAGCCAGGCUGAGGCAGAAACGGAGAUGCCUGGUAUCAAGGCUGGGUAUGAACCCAGCUCUGCUGGAUGCCAGAGCCUUUCAAUUCUGCAUCUGAGCGUGGAAGUAGGAAGAGUGUGGGCAUUUCAGAAGGGUGUGGGGGCGGGAGGCAGCCUGGGAGCAAACAAGAGUCACAAGCCCGGGGUCCGAGGCCCUGCAGGGCUGGACCCAGAGCUCUGAAUCUGGGUAGGUUACUUAGCCUUUCCCAGCCUGACUUCCUGCACAUAUUUUGAAAAUUAAACCAGUUGCACUGAGGUAGUACAAUACCAUCACCUACCCCUCAGGCCAGCCUGGAAUAGCACCCCUUCCUCUGACAACAGCAUCCCAAAUUUUCCUUAAGCCCCUUCUCAAUCCCUGAGAUUUGGGAAGGGCUGACAGGAGAAGACAUGUGACCAAAGAUGAGACAAUCCAAGCACUGCAAACUCAGCCCCACCCCCACUUCAGUGCUUGGCUUGGGGUCAGGUGGGUGCCAAGCUGGGCUAGUCAGGGCCAGAACCUUUGCUGAACUUAGCUCCCCUCCCCUCCCCUCCCCUCCCCUCCCCUCCAUUGCCCGCCACCCCACUCCCUUUUCCUUUCUUUCUUUCUUUCUUUCUUUCUUUUUUUUUUUUUUUUGAGACGGAGUCCAGCUCUGUCGCCCAGGCUGGAGUGCAGUGGCGUGUUCCCAACUCACUGCAACCUCCACCUCCCAGGUUCAAAUAAUUCCCCUGCCUCAGCCUCCCAAGUAGCUGGGAUUACAGGCGCCCGCCUCCACGCCCAGCUAAUUUUGGUAUUUUUAGUGGGGAUGGGCCACUGUGAUGGCCAAGCUGGUCUCAAACUCCCGACCUCGUGAUCCUCCCACCUCGGCCUCCCAAAGUGGUGGGAUUACGAGCGUGAGCCGCCACACCCAGCCCCUUUUUUAAAUUUUUUUUGAGACAGGGUCUCACUCUGUUGCACAGGCUGGAGUGCAGUGGUGCAACCACAGUUCCCUGCAGCCUCAAACUCCUGGGCUCAAGUGAUCCUCCUGCCUCAGCCUCCCAAAGUGCGGGGAUUACAGGCAUACUCUGCCACGCCCAGCGUGCUGGAACUUUUCUAAGGAAGGGGUGCUCCUUGCUCACUGUGAGAGUGAGCAGGCUAUGAGCUAGAGCUACUGGUGGCUGCCAUGUGGUGAGAGCCCGCCUGUGAGGAAAACCAGCAGAGAGGAGAGCAGAGCCAAAGCACGGAGAAUAAGAGCAGUCCUAACAAGCCCCUGGAUCCAGCUGGGCCUGAAGCCAGCUCCACUUCUGGACUUUUCAGUAAUCGAUGCCAAUACAUUGCCUUUUAUAACAGAGCCUGAGUUGGGUUCUGUCAUUUGCAAUCAAGGAGUUGUAUGUGCUGUAUUCCUGAAAGGGACAAAUAUGUGCCUGAUACACAGUAGGCUCUCAAUACAUGCUGAAGAUAAGGAUAAGACCUUUGUGAGAACAGCCAGUCUCAAAACAUAUUCUAUGAUUUCCUGGGCAUAACACUCCACACACGGCAGAAUUAUAGAGAUGGCAAGCAGGCUGGUGGCUGCUGGGAGCUAGGGCUGGUGGAGGGUGGAGGUGGGUGUGACAUCUUCACGGGGAUGGAACAGGUCUAGAUCUUGAGUGCUGUGGUGGCUUCAUGAUCUCCACAUGUGACAAAAUGACGUAGAGCCGUAUGCAUACCCUGUGCCAAUGUGGGUUUCCUGGUCUGGUAUUGUACUAGAGUUAUGUAAGAUAGAACCACUGGGAGAAACCCAGUGCAGGGUACACGGCACCUCUCUGUACUAUUUUUGCAAGUUCCUGUGAAUCUGUAAUAAUUUCAAAACAAAAAGUUACAAAGAAGAAGUUCUUUGUAGGCGUACCACCCAGCAGCUCUUGGACCCCAAAAGGCAAAUCAUGGGCAUUGAAAUCAGAUGGACCAGAGCUCAAAUCUCAGCAUGGCUGUUCACCUGCUAAGUGGCCUUGGGUCAGUCACGUCUCUUCUCCUACCCUCAGCGUUCUCAUCCGUGGAGUGGGGCUCACUGGGGCUUAUGGGCCCGCCCCAUGGGGUGGUGAUGACAGAGGAUACAGUCAAGACCGUGCUCUGUCUCGCUCAGGACCUGGCUGUGGGAGGCGAUAAGCUUCAGCAGCAGGCCAUCAAUACAGGGCUUGGCAGGGGGCCUUGCGCGGACCUGGCAAGGUCUUGGGUUCUGAGCCAGCUUCCCUGGGCUUGAGUCCUGGCUCUGCUGCUCCCUGCCUGGGUGACCUAGGGUAGACUACUUGACCUCUCCGGCCCUCAGUGUUUCCAUCUGUACAAUGGAGAUAAUCAUAGUGCUGAUCAUGUAUGUGACUUUUGAGGAUUAUUUUUUGUAGAGACAGGUUCUCCCUAGGUUGCCCUAUGUGGCUGAUCUUGAACUCCUGGCCUCAGGCGAGCCUCCCACCUCGGCCUCCCCAAGCUCUGGGAUUCCGGGUGUGAGCCACGUAGCCUGGUCUGCUUUUGAGGAUUAAAUGAGAUAGUGCACCUGAGGCCCCUAGGGCAGAACCUGACACUUGGCAGGGACAGUAGCCCUUUGGGGUGUGGAGAAUGGCCCCAUGGGUGGGGGUGGGAGGACCCUGGCCAUGCAGUGAGGUCUGUUGCAGCAUUGCCAGGAAAGCUCUCACUUCCUGGGGAUCAGCACCCCCAGGAGCUUCCCCUUCAAGGUCCCGCAGCCAGUGAUGAAUUCCACUCCGGCCAAGCAGAAAAUCUGAUCCCAGGCACCUAAGGAGGCAGAGGGACCCCUGUCCAGAGAACCCAGGCUCCCGCCUUCCUUCUCCUGUCCUCCCUGAGGAGGGAGAGCACAAACCUGAAGUGGAAUAUGCACGGAUUGGACUUCGAGGUACAGCCUCUGAGAAGAAAGGAAAGGACUUAGUGUUUGUGGUCAGUGAAAGAAAUUCUGGGGACAGUGGGGGCUCAGUGGUUGCUUGAGGGAGGCUGGAGAUGUUCCUCUGUCUCCAAACGUGUAUUUCAUGAUCUGUCAUGGUUUUAGGAUCCCUAGAAUUCCAUUAUUGCUGAGCUCAUCCCUAGGUUAAACACUGCCCACUCCUGCAUUCUGUUCUUUUCAAACUAGAGGAGUAACAUAUUAAGCCAUGAAUGUGUGAACUAAUUUAUGACAGGGUCUGGGGUGAGGCAUGCUCAAAGCAGACCGAGGAAGGGCAGGAGAGGCCCAGGAAGGGGUAGGGGGAGGGUUGGGAGGUAGGGAAUGAUGCCUAAGGCAAACUUUGCCUGCUCUGGCUGGCUCUUGGUGAUAAUCUAUUUAAAGGCCUCCCCUGGCUGUUCUCGUUGAUGUAGAUCCAUUUGAGCAGUUUCAGGGCUGCAGUCUUUAUUUAAUGCAGCUCCGAGCCUGAUGCACAGGGCCCAGAGCUGAGCGGAGGCUGGCUCCUGGCAAUGCUUAAUAGCAAGGUGAGAACACGGAGCUCCUGAGUAGGGGAGGGGCGAUGUCAGGCAGCAAGGGCUAGGCCGGCUGUGCUCCACAACCUGCUCCUUGCUGCUGCUGGGAGGAUGGAGCAGGCUGGAGGUGGAAAUUCCCAUCCCGGAGUCAGCACUUAGGAGAAGGGAAUCUCAAUGUCAAAUGAGCUGGUGAUUUGGUGGGAUGGGAGAGGCUUUGUUGAAUAGUGGCUGAGGAUAAGCCAGCAUGGCUUCGGCAAACAAGAAAUAUGUUAGCUCAUGGAGCCGUCCAGCUUCAGGUACGGCUGAAUCCAGGACUCCCUGUGAGAACAUCUAACAGUUCCUGAGACCACAUGCUUCCUGUGGAACACACUGGGGGAGCAUGUCUGGGGCCAGGCAUUCCCUGCAAAAGUCCCAAGGUCCUUUCUGAUUGGUCUGGCUUGGGUCACAUGCCCCUUCCCUAAACCAAACACUGUGGCCAGGAGGAUGGGAUACGCUGAUUGUCUUGGCCCACUCCAAAGGACCAAGUGAAGUGGGGAGGGGGGUCAGUUCCAUCCAAGCCUCACAGAGGACAGGAGGCCCCGGAGCAGGACCGGCCUAGGAAGCAAGCAGAUGCUGGCUCACGGCAACGCCGAGCCUGUGUCCACACACCUCGUCCAAUGUACCCCUCUCAGCUGCCUCUGCAGAUACUUCUUCAGAUGAGAGCACUGAGGUAGAGGGACUUGCCCAGCACCCAGAGGGGGAGUCCAGCUAAAACAGAAUCCAGAUAAAAGACUCUAUUUUAUUCUAAGUUCUUUCCAGCGCCUCCUGGUCCAGCUGGCGCCGAUCCCCUGUCCCACGUUCCCUGCCCCUGAUAUUCCAGAGUACUUGGACUCCUAGGUUUGGGACCUGAAAAGGAUCUUAGAGUUUGUUGUCUCCAGUCUCUUCGAGUAAUGCACCCAGGGCCACACAGCCCACGAAUAGCAGAACGGGGACUAGAAUCCACAUCUAAUAGGACAGCUUGUCACUUACCUUGUGUCUGCCUCACUGCUUGGGAGUCUGGUCUUAACGGUGUGGCCCUGGUCUCCAUCUGCUUGCCAGCCUUAGUUUCCCACCUCCCCAUGGUGAGGGUGUGAGGGUAUCCCCGAGGGCCCCCUAGAGCUCCCCAGGCUCAGCCCCUGAAUGAUGGUCUGCGCUUUCCUGGGUCUCCACGCCGCCGCGGUUUGCAUGUCUUACUCCUCCUUGACAUCAUUUUCUUUCUAGAUAAUUGCUUUGUUCUAAUUCUUUAGAGGCAAUUUUCUUCUGUUACUUUAUUUCUACAGUUAACACCCUCCAAUUAAUUUCAUAGCUCUUGAAAGUUCUCACAUAAGUUGCCCUCACAAACCCUUCCAGUUUAACCGUCGCGUGCAACAGCAGCAUCUCCGACAACACAGUCAUCUAUUCACGCCUACUGCAUCCGAGCACACCAGCUGCAUUUGAUCUUCAUAAUAACCUUAGGAGAGUAGCCUCCUUUUACAGAGAGGGAAAAUUCAGACUCAAAGAGGUAAAGCAGUCUGCUCCAGGACUGUAGUACAGGCGGAGCUGGGAUUUGAACCUCCACCUCCAGCUGCUGGCCUGAAUCAACAGCAGCUCCAGAUCAGGGGGAGGGCAUGGUGGCUGUCAGCUUCCAGGUGCACAUCUGUCCUACUGGGGUGGCCCCAGAGUGAACUUGGUGGCCCUGCUGGCUCUACCCCUGGCGAUUCCCUGCAACCUGCCCCUGGAUCCUAUACAGAGAAGCUUCCCUGGCAGGCAGGAGGAAAUGAAAUCCAGGCGAAACACAGGGUCUCAGCCUCCGUGCAUGGAUAGGGAAAAGUCAGUAGUGGUUACAGCAUCUCUAGAGGAGAGGAGGAAAAAAAAACCUAACACCAACUACAUUUGCAGAGAAAUAAUAAAUGAUUUCAAAUUCUAUUUUCCUAUCUCUCUCAGUACAUCUCCCAGUGCUAUUUUAUCUAGUAAAUAGGAGGCCUAGUUGUUAUUCUCAAUUAUGAUAUUAAUUCUCCCGGUGACCCUGGGCAACUUACCUCCCUUCUCUGAGCUGGUUUCUCUAUCUAUCACCACCCGCUCAAGGACAAAAAGAUGUUCUCACAGGAAGGAAGCUCCCUGUGUCUGGAACAGGCCUGGG